AAGUGCAGCAAAUGGGUUGGUGAGUUAUGGGUUACAAUCUAAACACAGAUACGGAAUAAAUAAUUAAAACAUUUAUAAAGGAGGACUUGGAUGUAAUGCAAUAAAAAAUUAAAUGAAACUGAAUCUAAGACAUGCACACAUCGCCCGUCACUCUCGCCUCAAGGCGAGAUAAGUCGUAACAAAGUAGGUGUAACGGAAGUUGCACCUGU
rnacentral:rRNA from 1 species